rnacentral:rRNA from 1 species
ACGAACGCUGGCGGCACGCUUAACACAUGCAAGUCGAACGAGAGAAGAGAAGCUUGCUUUUCUGAUCUAGUGGCGGACGGGUGAGUAACACGUGAGCAAUCUGCCUUUCAGAGGGGGAUACCGAUUGGAAACGAUCGUUAAUACCGCAUAAUAUAAUUGAACCGCAUGAUUUGAUUAUCAAAGAUUUAUCGCUGAAAGAUGAGCUCGCGUCUGAUUAGCUAGUUGGUAAGGUAACGGCUUACCAAGGCGACGAUCAGUAGCCGGACUGAGAGGUUGAUCGGCCACAUUGGGACUGAGACACGGCCCAGACUCCUACGGGAGGCAGCAGUGGGGAAUAUUGCACAAUGGAGGAAACUCUGAUGCAGCGAUGCCGCGUGAGGGAAGAAGGUUUUAGGAUUGUAAACCUCUGUCUUCAGGGACGAAAAAAGACGGUACCUGAGGAGGAAGCUCCGGCUAACUACGUGCCAGCAGCCGCGGUAAUACGUAGGGAGCGAGCGUUGUCCGGAAUUACUGGGUGUAAAGGGAGCGUAGGCGGGAUCGCAAGUCAGAUGUGAAAACUAUGGGCUUAACCCAUAAACUGCAUUUGAAACUGUGGUUCUUGAGUGAAGUAGAGGUAAGCGGAAUUCCUAGUGUAGCGGUGAAAUGCGUAGAUAUUAGGAGGAACAUCAGUGGCGAAGGCGGCUUACUGGGCUUUAACUGACGCUGAGGCUCGAAAGCGUGGGGAGCAAACAGGAUUAGAUACCCUGGUAGUCCACGCCGUAAACGAUGAUUACUAGGUGUGGGGGGACUGACCCCUUCCGUGCCGCAGCAAACGCAAUAAGUAAUCCACCUGGGGAGUACGACCGCAAGGUUGAAACCCAAAGGAAUUGACGGGGGCCCGCACAAGCAGUGGAGUAUGUGGAUUAAUUCGAAGCAACGCGAAGAACCUUACCAGGUCUUGACAUCGUAUGCAUAGCUCAGAGAUGAGUGAAAUCUCUUCGGAGACAUAUAGACAGGUGGUGCAUGGUUGUCGUCAGCUCGUGUCGUGAGAUGUUGGGUUAAGUCCCGCAACGAGCGCAACCCUUACUGUUAGUUGCUACGCAAGAGCACUCUAGCAGGACUGCCGUUGACAAACCGGAGGAAGGUGGGGAUGACGUCAAAUCAUCAUGCCCCUUAUGACCUGGGCCUCACACGUACUACAAUGGCUGUUAACAGAGGGAUGCAAAGCCGCGAGGUGGAGCGAACCCCUAAAAGCAGUCUUAGUUCGGAUUGUAGGCUGCAACCCGCCUACAUGAAGUCGGAAUUGCUAGUAAUCGCAGAUCAGCAUGCUGCGGUGAAUACGUUCCCGGGCCUUGUACACACCGCCCGUCACGCCAUGGGAGUCGGUAACACCCGAAGCCUGUAGUCUAACCGCAAGGAGGACGCAGUCGAAGGUGGGAUUGAUGACUGGGGUG